rnacentral:rRNA from 1 species
GGGGAAUCUUGCGCAAUGGGCGAAAGCCUGACGCAGCAACGCCGCGUGGGGGACGAAGGCUCUCGGGUUGUAAACCCCUUUCAGCAGGAACGAAAUUGACGGUACCUGCAGAAGAAGCCCCGGCCAACUACGUGCCAGCAGCCGCGGUAAUACGUAGGGGGCGAGCGUUGUCCGGAUUUAUUGGGCGUAAAGAGCUCGUAGGCGGUUUGGUAAGUCGGGUGUGAAAACCCCAGGCUCAACCUGGGGACGCCACCUGAUACUGCUAUGACUUGAGUCUGGUAGGGGACCACGGAAUUCCUGGUGUAGCGGUGAAAUGCGCAGAUAUCAGGAGGAACACCGGUGGCGAAGGCGGUGGUCUGGGCCAGUACUGACGCUGAGGAGCGAAAGCGUGGGUAGCAAAC